CUCCUACGGGAGGCAGCAGUAAGGAAUAUUGGUCAAUGGACGCAAGUCUGAACCAGCCAUGCCGCGUGGAGGAUGAAGUAUCUCGGUACGUAAACUCCUUUCGAUGGGGAAGAUGAUGACGGUACCCAUAGAAGAAGCCCCGGCUAACUUCGUGCCAGCAGCCGCGGUAAUUC
rnacentral:rRNA from 1 species